rnacentral:rRNA from 1 species
GACGAACGCUGGCGGCGUGCCUAAUACAUGCAAGUCGAGCGAACGGACGAGAAGCUUGCUUCUCUGAUGUUAGCGGCGGACGGGUGAGUAACACGUGGAUAAUCUACCUAUAAGUCUGGGAUAACUUCGGGAAACCGGAGCUAAUCCCGGAUAAUCUUUUGAACCGCAUGGUUCAAAAGUGAAAGACGGUCUUGCUGUCACUUAUAGCUGGAUCCGCGCUGCAUUAGCUAGUUGGUAAGGUAACGGCUUACCCAGGCAACGAUGCAUAGCCGACCUGAGAGGGUGGUCGGCCACACUGGAACGGAGACACGGUCCAGACGCCUACGGGAGGCAGCAGUAGGGAAUCGGACGCAAUGGGCGAAAGCCUGACGUAGCAACGCCGCGUGAGUUGUGGAGGUCUUCGGAUCGGAAUACUCUGUUAUUAGUGAAGAACAGAUGUGUAAUUAACUGUGCACAGCUUGACGGUACCUAAUCAGAAAGCCACGGCUAACUACGUG